rnacentral:rRNA from 1 species
UACGAAGGGGACUAGCGUUGUUCGGAAUCACUGGGCGUAAAGCGCACGUAGGCGGAUUCGUAAGUCAGGGGUGAAAUCCCGGGGCUCAACCUCGGAACUGCCUUUGAUACUGCGGGUCUUGAGUCCGAUAGAGGUGGGUGGAAUUCCUGGUGUAGAGGUGAAAUUCGUAGAUAUUAGGAAGAACACCGGUGGCGAAGGCGGCCCACUGGAUCGGUACUGACGCUGAGGUGCGAAAGCGUGGGGAGCAAACAGG